CGUACACUCCUGCGGGAGGCAGCAGUGGGGAAUAUUGCACAAUGGGCGCAAGCCUGAUGCAGCCAUGCCGCGUGUAUGAAGAAGGCCUUCGGGUUGUAAAGUACUUUCAGCGGGGAGGAAGGCGAUAAGGUUAAUAACCUUGUUGAUUGACGUUACCCGCAGAAGAAGCACCGGCUAACUCCGUGCCAGCAGCCGCGGUAAUACGGAGGGUGCAAGCGUUAAUCGGAAUUACUGGGCGUAAAGCGCACGCAGGCGGUCUGUCAAGUCGGAUGUGAAAUCCCCGGGCUCAACCUGGGAACUGCAUUCGAAACUGGCAGGCUAGAGUCUUGUAGAGGGGGGUAGAAUUCCAGGUGUAGCGGUGAAAUGCGUAGAGAUCUGGAGGAAUACCGGUGGCGAAGGCGGCCCCCUGGACAAAGACUGACGCUCAGGUGCGAAAGCGUGGGGAGCAAACAGGAUUAGAUACCCGGGUAGUCCCAUG
rnacentral:rRNA from 1 species